rnacentral:rRNA from 1 species
GAUGAACGCUGGCGGCGUGCCUAAUACAUGCAAGUCGAGCGAACAGACGAGGAGCUUGCUCCUCUGACGUUAGCGGCGGACGGGUGAGUAACACGUGGAUAACCUACCUAUAAGACUGGGAUAACUUCGGGAAACCGGAGCUAAUACCGGAUAAUAUAUUGAACCGCAUGGUUCAAUAGUGAAAGACGGUUUUGCUGUCACUUAUAGAUGGAUCCGCGCCGCAUUAGCUAGUUGGUAAGGUAACGGCUUACCAAGGCAACGAUGCGUAGCCGACCUGAGAGGGUGAUCGGCCACACUGGAACUGAGACACGGUCCAGGCUCCUACGGGAGGCAGCAGUAGGGAAUCUUCCGCAAUGGGCGAAAGCCUGACGGAGCAACGCCGCGUGGGUGAUGAAGGUCUUCGGAUCGUAAAACUCUGUUAUUAGGGAAGAACAAAUGUGUAAGUAACUAUGCACGUCUUGACGGUACCUAAUCAGAAGGCCACGGCUAACUACGUG